rnacentral:lncRNA from 1 species
GGAGAAGUCAAAACAAAGGUCACCAUGUUGUUCUGAGCCUAAGGGGUCUUUGUGAGAUCUUGCACUACAAACUGCAGCCAAGGGGAUCCCGAAUGGGCAAGACUUGAUCCUCAUACUGGUGAAACCUCCUGAGUCCCCAGGGACCCUGUCAGACCAGGCUCCAGCCUCCCUGCGGUCUCUGAGAGAGAAUGUGGCUAGUUCUGCCCCACGGCUCCCUGGCAGUCCAGCGGUCAGAAGUGGCCACGCAGAACCCAACAUUCAGCCUGGGUGCAGACACUGCCUCUAGCCUCCUCCCCAAGCACUCUCCUAGUAUGCCUCAAGUCCUAGGACUUAGCCUCUUUAUCAUCAGCCUUGUUUCCAUCAUUGUCAUCAUCAUCCACUACCACCACCACCAACUCCUACAACCCAUAUUUAUUCAUUGAAUCCUGGAACCACAGCAGCUAAUGAUGGGGGAGGAGGCUUUAAAGACCAUCUUUCUAGCCAGAACAUCAAUCCUUGCUACAGAAUUCCGUGUGAAUUGUGAUCCAGUAGAACACUCCCAGCAAUAAGCAGCUUACUCACUGCCUCAUAAAUCAGCCCAUUGCAUCUCUGGA